AGCAGCCGCGGUAAUUCCAGCUCCAAUAGCGUAUAUUAAAGUUGUUGCAGUUAAAAAGCUCGUAGUUGAACUUCGGGAUUUGCCCAUUGGUCAGGCUUAACUGUCUGCACUGGUGUGACGAGUUCCUACCUUCUGAGGAAUCUCCAUGUCAUUCAGUUGGUGUGGGGGAAAUCAGGACUGUUACUUUGAAAAAUUGAGUGUUUAAAGCAGGCGUCCGUCUGAAUACAUUAGCAUGGAAUAAUAAAAUAGGACGGUUUGGUUCUAUUUUGUUGGUUUCUAGGAUCACCGUAAUGAUUAAUAGGGAUAGUUGGGGGCAUUAGUAUUCAAUCGUCAGAGUGAAAUUCUUGGAUUUAUUGAAGACUAACUACUGCGAAAGCAUUUGCCUAAGGAUGUUUUCAUUAAUCAAGAACGAAAGUUAGGGGAUCGAAGACGAUCAGAUACCGUCGUAGU
rnacentral:rRNA from 1 species